rnacentral:rRNA from 1 species
CCUACGGGAGGCAGCAGUGGGGAAUAUUGGGCAAUGGGCGCAAGCCUGACCCAGCAAUGCCGCGUGAAGGAAGAAGGCUUUCGGGUUGUAAACUUCUUUGACAGGGGAAGAGCAGAAGACGGUACCUUGAAAACAAGCCACGGCUAACUACGUGCCAGCAGCCGCGGUAAUACGGAGGUGGCAAGCGUUGUCCGGAUUUACUGGGUGUAAAGGGCGUGAAGUCGGGAAGGCAAGUCAGAUGUGAAAUCUGGGGGCUCAACCUCCAAAUUGCAUUUGAGACUGUUUUUCUUGAGUACUGGAGAGGCAGACAGAAUGCCUUGUGUAGCGGUGAAAUGCGUAGAUAUGAGGAGGAACACCAGUGGCGAAGGCGGUCUGCUGGACAACGACUGACGGUGAGGCGCGAAAGCGUGGGGAGCAAACAGGAUUAGAUACCCGGGUAGUC